AACGAACGCUGGCGGCGUGCCUCAUACAUGCAAGUCGUACGCGAAUCCUGCCGCAAGGCAGGGUUUGAGUGGCAAACGGGUGCGUAACACGUAGGUAAUCUUCCUUUGAGUUGGGGAUAAACCCUCGAAAGGGGGUCUAAUACCGAAUAACACUUCGGGCCGGCAUCGGCCUGAAAUUAAAGAUGGCCUCUGCUUGCAAGCUAUCGCUCAAAGAUGAGCCUGCGGCCGAUUAGAGUUGGCGGGAUAAAAGCCCACCAAGACUUCGAUCGGUAGCCGGUCUGAGAGGAUGUCCGGCCACACUGGGACUGAGAUACGGCCCAGACUCCUACGGGAGGCAGCAGUAGGGAAUAUUGCGCAAUGGCCGCAAGGCUGACGCAGCAACGCCGCGUGGGGGAUGAAGGUUUUCGGAUCGUAAACCCCUGUCGAGAGGGAAGAAAGGCCGAAACGCGAAUACCGUUUUGGCUUGACGGUACCUUUAGAGGAAGUUCCGGCUAACUUCGUGCCAGCCGCCGCCGUAAG
rnacentral:rRNA from 1 species